GCGCACAUAGCCAAACCCGGUAAGGCAAUUGCCUGCAGAGCAAUCAUGUCCAGGUUCAAAUCCUGGUGUGCGCU
rnacentral:tRNA from 1 species